rnacentral:lncRNA from 1 species
UGUGCCGCGGCCGUUCGUUACGUAGGAGCGCGGGUGCUGUGGUGGUUUGCUGCACCUAUUAACCCAUCCUGUUUUGCCUGGCAUUCUGCAGAAGCAUUGCUGUAUCUUACCAGACAGGAAUACAGGUCUGCUGUGUGCCAAAAUAUUUUACCAUGCCCUAAAAGUGAGAUGUUGGAAGUGGACAAGGAGGAAAUAUUUAUGAAUAUUUGAGUCUGUUAUUCUUUAUGUUAAGCAUUUUGGCUUCUGUUGUACUCCUAAAUCACUACUGAGAGCAGAGAAAGAGCUCUUUGUAGAAAUGAGAUGUGUUCCUGUGUGCUGCCUGUGACGCAUCCCGUUGUCACCGGAGUGCCGUGGCCCUAAGGAAUGACAGCAUUAAGGCAUGGACGUUAAAGAUGGACAAAAGAAUUGUUCACGGUGUUGUAUUUUAAAAUGACUAUGUGUAUGACAAUUAAACUAUUGUGUCUUCGUUUACUCCAUGUGUUCUGCCUGACAGCUGGG